rnacentral:rRNA from 1 species
GAUGAACGCUAGCGGCAGGCCUAAUACAUGCAAGUCGAACGGAGUGGAGCAGCAAUGCUUCACUUAGUGGCGCACGGGUGCGUAACGCGUAUGCAACCUACCUUUUAUUGGGGGAUAGCCCGAAGAAAUUCGGAUUAAUACCGCAUAAUAUCAUUUGAGGGCAUCUGAGGAUGAUGAAAGCUUUGGCGAUAAAAGAUGGGCAUGCGUUUCAUUAGCUAGUUGGUCGAGGUAACGGCUCACCAAGGCGAGGAUGACUAGGGGUUUUGAGAGGAUGAUCCCCCACACCGGUACUGAGAUACGGACCAGACUCCUACGGGAGGCAGCAGUAGGGAAUAUUGGGCAAUGGCGUAAACGCUGACCCAGCCAUGCCGCGUGCCGGAUGAAGGCCUUCUGGGUUGUAAACGGCUUUUACCAGGGAAGAACCUACCUUUGCGAAGGGAACUGACGGUACCUGGUGAAUAAGCACCGGCUAACUCCGUGCCAGCCGCCGCAGUAAUAC